GGGCCUCAGGGAGAAGCUCUUAGGAAAACCUAUGAGAGGGUCUGUGGUGACAUGGAUGGGAGUUGCAUAGAGUGCAAGCAUUGAGUGCAAUGCAGAACUUCAACUUAUGACCCGGAGAUCAAGACCUGAGCUGAGAUCAAGAGUUGGAAGCUUCACCAACUGAGACACCCAGGCCGGGACACUAAACCACGGAGGAAUCUGUUCAGCUUUCCUGCACAGCCCACUGAGGAGGGGGCAUUCCACGGUCCUUGGGGUCCUACGAAUGACGUCGCAACCAGUUCGGGGCAGACCGGGCGACGCAGGGAAAGCAGGGAAGGCCCCGGAGCCAGGCUCCUACCCAACCCACGGAAACAGAGGAUUUUAUUUAUUCAUGAGAGACACAAAGAGAGAGAGGCGGAAACACAGGCAGAGGGACAAGCAGGCUCCAUGCAGGGAGCCCGACGUGGGACUCCAUCCCAGGACCCCAGGGUCAGGACCUGAGCCAAAGGCAGGCGCCAAACUGCUGAGCCACCCGGGUGUCCCCAAAUCUUCUAUUUUCCUUCAGGUUGAGCCUCUUUCCCAUUCUGGAGUAAACAAAUACUUUAUUUUAGACAAAUGAAUCUCUUCCUUCAGAAACCAAAGCACACCAUGAUAUUUCAGGUGCUUGGUGCGAGAGGUAAAGAGAAAAUGAGAAAAGUCUCGCCGGAGACACACAGUGCAGAGCUCUCACAGCUUGCUUUCCACAACCCCAGCCCAGGUGAAGUGGGCACUGAAGCCACCCCUCACCUGACGCAGCCCUCAGCUGAUGCACCUGAUGCAGCCCUCACCUGAUGCAGCCCUCACCUGAUGCAGCCCUCACCUGGUGCACCUGAUGCAGCCCUCACCUGGUGCACUUGAUGCAGCCCUCACCUGAUGCAGCCUUCACCUGAUGCAGCCUUCACCUGAUGUACCUGAUGUAUCCCUCACCUGAUGCAGCCCUCAUCUGAUGCAGCCCUCAGAGACUCCCUCUUCUUUUUAAGGGACCCAAAGCAUCCUUUUGAGGCAGGUGGGCACACAGACGGAACACAGGAGAGUAAGCCAGACUUUGUCACCUCCCGGCCAGUGCAAGUGGAUUGCUCCGGCCCCAGGGGACAGGGGUCUCUUAACGGCCAACCGGGAAGCCGGCUCCUGGGCUCUGCUGCGGCCAGUGGGGAAGAAAGAGCCGGAUCCUGGCCAAACCGGCGCCGAACCAAAGCUGACCAAGAGCCAGAAACAAAAACAGGAACGCGGGGUGGGGAGGAAGAGAGAAGCAGUGGGUGAGUGAAGGGAACGACUGGUGGCAUUUGGGACGUCCCCUGGGAUGGGGCAUCAGUCCCACGACCUUGAGGCCCCGUGGGAGGGGUCCUGUGGCUCUGCCGGGCGUCCACCGCAUCGUGAUGGGGCUGCCAGACUUGGACGGUCCAACUAAUUUGUAGGAGAAAACACGUAACUUCCGUGCCAGUGUAGACUGAAGCCCGUCACAGAUGCGCUGGGCUCACUAGUUAGGGAAGCAGGAGGAGGGUAAGGCUGAAGCCCAAGUCGCUGUUCUGGAAUGUGUUUCUGGGCUUCGCCGCACCCCUUGGUUCACUCGAGGAGAGCCCUGCUGCCCACCUGCCUCUGGAGCAGAGCCCGUGCACCCCUGCGGUCGAGACGGCCUCCCCGCGCCCACCGAGGCCGUGACGACGGUGACAAAUCACAGGGUGUGCACGUAUGACAACAGCCUGCGGAAAGCAGCUGGCUGCUGCCUGGUCUCGGAGCCUGCAGGCCUCUGGGGGGUGCCUCCAGGCAUCACACUCCCCGGGACACUGAGGCCACCGCUCCAGACUCGUGCGCCAGCUCCACGGGGGCUUCCGUCUCCCGGAGGACUAUGCCUGCCUUUUAUUCAAAGUUUGUUGUAUUGAAUCAAUGGAAAAAAAAAAUUUGUACAGCAAAAUGUUACUAAAACUUUCACUCCCAUCAAACGUUACGGUGGCCUACACCGACGUGCUCUGUGGCACGGUCAUUUCCACCAAUUACCAGUUUCUUUCAACAUAGUUUAUUCCAGAAUAAAUAAUAUCACAAUAUGCUCCUAGGCUGUGGUGAGAUUAUUUGACAACUGCAUCUGCCCUGGCGAAGAGACCCACGGGUAAGCCCCGUAGCUGGAAUCUCCCACGAGACUUAGGCAACCACAGAAGUGAGGGCUCCUCUUGCUGGCUUUCUCCUUUCCCAGGGUCUCUGGGCUGCUCAAGUUCUGUUCUCUGGUUCUCCACCAGCAAGGCUGCGGACUUUCGAUGCAAACACCUGCUAUCCCUGCCCGGGACCGGGCUGGCCUUUAGGCUGAGAGCCACAGGAAACAAGAAUUUGCGUCCUCCCUCUUCUAAAUACAGACUCCACCCAGGGUCGGUCUGCGCUGGGGGCCGUCUGGUGCCUCCUCGAAGCUGCUUAUAUAUUGUCUUGAGUUUAUGGCUGGGGGUGGUUGGUCUGUGAGGAGCCACUACCAUCCCCGGGAGAACCUCCUACAGAUGGCACUUGGAAAGCUGAGCUGUUCACCCUAAGAAGUCCCCUUCUGCUGUGUUAGGGGGAAUGUCUCCACUAAAGCUCCGAGGAUAAAAUUAUUUAUUCCAUUUUUUUUCUAUAUAUUUAUCUCAUGUGCUGGUGUCUUAACUCAGCACCGUGACUCUCCCCCUUCUCCUUCCUGCUUGGUUCCCUUCUGUUCCCUGUCUCCUCUCCCCUCCCUAUGGAUCUCAUGUUAGAUAGUGCUCCGCACCUUACAGAUACUUCAACUCAAAUAAUCUUUAUUUGGUUUUUUAAAUUUCUCUGGAAAACCCAGGUGAACUAUACUAUAACCACAUUAUAGAUGCGGACACAGAGUCUGUAGCCAGGCCGGGCCACAGGGUGAAACACCAGGACUGGCACACCGGCCCUCAGGGGGCUCCUGGGUCCCUGGAGGUGGUAGCUGGUGCUGAGAGCCGAUGAUCAAAGGCAGUUUCUGGGUCUAUAGCAGAAGUUUAAUCUACAUUUUAUUAAAAUGCAGAGACUUUCAGAAAAUUAAUAAAUUGUUUGGAUUCUUAUUUUUUAAAGAUUUUAUUUAUUUAUUCAUGAGAGAGAGAGAG